GUGCUUUUCUGUCGGAAGGCCACAAAGGGGCAACAUCCAUGCAGAGUUGGGGCUCCAGUUCAACAACGUGGCGUCACCCGAUCAAAUCCCACAGGCUGAUGCUGUUGCAGACACCUUAAUAAGUGCUCUAAAUAACCCCAACAACACCUUCGGCCUCGCUGUUGAUCCCACCUCCAUCCAAGUGAUUCGCUCAACAACUGGCGGGUCAACAACAACUACCGGGCCGACGACAAGUGGAGGCACCGCAGCUCCCUCACCGGUUGUGGUUCUCGCAGCAACCUUGGAAGAAGCAUUUGUAGAAGAACUCAACAAUCGCAGCAGCGUACAAUACAGAGAUCUCGAAACACGAGUUGAAACAGCGUUCGACUCCAUCUUCAGUGAGAGAUUUGGCCUCCUUUUCAUCCGCACCUUUGUCAUCGGAUUUGGUAAUCUUUUAAGUUUUGAAAGUCUCUGACUUAAACGGCAUCAGCUCAUAAUUAGAACGCUACCUUUUGGGCAAUGGU